rnacentral:rRNA from 1 species
UACGUAGGGGGCUAGCGUUGUCCGGAAUCAUUGGGCGUAAAGAGCGUGUAGGCGGUCCGGUAAGUCCGCUGUGAAAGUCGGGGGCUCAACCCUCGAAUGCCGGUGGAUACUGUCGGGCUAGAGUACGGAAGAGGCGAGUGGAAUUCCUGGUGUAGCGGUGAAAUGCGCAGAUAUCAGGAGGAACACCGGUGGCGAAGGCGGGUCUCUGGGCCGAAACUGACGCUGAGGAGCGAAAGCGUGGGGAGCGAACAGG